UUUGUUGUUGCUACUCCCAUUAUUCAUUCAAUGGUCUCAUUCACACUUGAUCACAAUAAGGUGGUUCAUGACGAGUGCCCACCUACCGAAUAAAAGAAGCAAGUUAGUACACAGAGUCUUCCCUCGCCCAAUUAACCUGCUUUGCUUCGCUCGCUUCCAUUUUGUUUCUAUACUUUAUUGGUCUUAUAAUACCUUUUGUUUAUAUUCAUGGUAGUUGUUGAUAUUUUUACUUAGCGUUAAAGUUUAUGUAUAAGAAAUCUAUGAUGUUAAUAAUGGCAGACUGGUUGUAAUCUA